UUGGAGGGCAAGUCUGGUGCCAGCAGCCGCGGUAAUUCCAGCUCCAAUAGCGUAUAUUAAAGUUGUUGCAGUUAAAAAGCUCGUAGUUGAAUUUCGGGAUCAAUAUGUCGGUCGUGCCUUCGGUACGUACUGGUAUCAUUGGUCUCUCCUUUCUGACGAACCAUGAUGUCAUUAAUUUGGUGUUAUGGGGAGUUAGGACUGUUACUUUGAAAAAAUUAGAGUGUUUAAAGCAGGCUUUAGCUUGAAUACAUUAGCAUGGAAUAAUGAAAUAGGACGUUCGAACCUAUUUUGUUGGUUUCUAGGAUCAACGUAAUGAUUAAUAGGGAUAGUUGGGGGCAUUAGUAUUCAAUUGUCAGAGGUGAAAUUCUUGGAUUUAUUGAAGACUAACUACUGCGAAAGCAUUUGCCAAGGAUGUUUUCAUUAAUCAAGAACGAAAGUUAGGGGAUCGAAGACGAUCAGAUACCGUCGUAGUCUUAACCAUAAACUAUGCCGACUAGGGAUCGGAUGAUGUUAAUUUUUUAAUGACUCAUUCGGCGCCUUACGGGAAAC
rnacentral:rRNA from 1 species